rfam:Myotis brandtii contig169276, whole genome shotgun sequence.
AAAACCUGACAGGUUUCUCUGGAAAAGUGGCCUUCUGUGGAAUGAAUGAAAUGUUCCCUUUCUAUUCCA